GCCUGGCGUGGUGGUGCAUGCCUGUAGUUCCAGCUACUUAGGAGGCUGAGGCUGGAAGACUGCCUGAGUCCAGGAGUUCUGGGCUGUAGUGCGCUAUGCUGAUCAGGUGUCCGAACUAAGUUCAGCAUCUUUAUGGUGACCUCCGGGGAGCAGGGGACCACCAGGUUGCCUAAGGAGGGCUGAACUGGCCCAGGUCAGAAAUGGAGCUGGUCAAAACUCCCAUGCUGAUCAGUAGUGGGAUCGCACCUGUGAAUAGCCGCUGCACUCCAGCCUGGGCAACAUAGCGAGACCACAUCUCU
rnacentral:SRP_RNA from 1 species